GCCCACCAGAUCUCUUACUCGUCAGACUCGAUUCCUGGUCUGAAUGGCUCUAAAAGGAGGAAAAGUAAAAUUGAGACGGUACUUGAAUUCUUUUUGUGACUUACCAGCCAGUAUCAAACGAAU
rnacentral:snoRNA from 1 species